rnacentral:rRNA from 1 species
CCCAGCAGUUCUCGCAUGGUUUCCAACUGAAGCUAAGCAGGGUGGAGAAUGGCCAGUACCUGGAUGGGAGACCUCAUGGGGAAAACUAAGGUUGCUGCUGGAA